rnacentral:rRNA from 1 species
ACGACUGGAAACGGCCGCUAAUACCCCAUAUGUCCUUGGAUGAAAAGAAUUUUCGCCUGAAGAUGAGCUCGCGUCAUAUUAGCUAGUUGGUGGGGUAACGGCCCACCAAGGCGACGAUCUGUAGCUGGUCUGAGAGGAUGAUCAGCCACACUGGGACUGAGACACGGCCCAGACUCCUACGGGAUGCAGCAGUGGGGAAUUUUCCGCAAUGGGCGAAAGUUUGACGGAUCGGGACCGCGUGAGGUAUGACGGCCUAAUGGUUGUAAACCUCUUUUCUCUGGGAAGAUGAUGACGGUACCAGAGGAAUCAGCCUCGGCUAACUCCGUGCCAGCAGCCGCGGGUAAUACGGAGGAGGCAAGCGUUAUCCGGAAUUAUUGGGCGUAAAGCGUCCGUAGGUGGUUAGACAAGUCAGCUGUUAAAGCGGGGGGCUUAACUCCAUAAGGGCGGUUGAAACUGUUUAACUUGAGUGCGGAAGGGGUUACGGGAAUUCCCAUUGUAGCGGUGAAAUGCGUAGAUAUUGGGAAGAACACCGGUGGCGAAAGCUCGUAACUGGGCCUGCACUGAUAUCUCACGGCCGAAAGCCAAGGGGAGCU